GGGGCGAGUGAUCGGUCAGCUAGUGCUGAGGCAGAGCUUCUGCAUGAACAAUAGAUGCCUUCAUUAUUGGAAGCACACACCAUGCAGUGGAGAGAACUACAAGAUAUUUCUUGCAGAUCCAUAAAUCUUCACCAGCUGAUGUCUCUUCCUGCACUCUGCCGGGGUGGUUUCAAGCAGAUACUACGGAUGGCAUCCUCAUAAAAAAAAAGAUAUUGGUGAGUUUAAACAACAGGCAUCUUACUGGGGAUGGUAAAUCCUAUUGCAGUUUCUGCUAGUCCCUCUAACCCAGGCUGCUGUGCCUGUUCCCUCUGGCUGACCACAGUGCUGUAGCUAGAGCUGUAUUUCUCCCCUU